rnacentral:lncRNA from 1 species
UUCACUUCACUUCAAUUCUAUUCGGUUUUAUUUACAAAUCUUCAUACUUUAUUUAUAGUAUUGAUUAGUUGGCCUCAAUUUUAAUUAAAUUAUGGUGCUGCUGCAGUCCUAUAAUGCAAAGAUAUCAGAUUUUGGACUUGCUAAGCUGGGUCCUUCAGCAAGUCAAUCCCAUUUGUCAACAACUGUAAUGGGCACACCUGGUUAUGCAGCUCCUGAAUAUAUGCAAACAGGUAAGUAAAUAAGUAAUUCAUUGCUUUUUAGUGCCCAAAUAAAAUGAAUUUCAUUGUUGAAGUAGCUACUAGCUACUACUACUAAUUGAAAUUGACAUAUACUAUAUGAUAUGCAGGGCAUCUAUAUGUAAAGAGUGACGUGUAUGGGUUUGGAGUUGUUUUGGUUGAGAUACUGUCAGGCCAACGAGCCAUUGAUACCAACCGUCCAACCGGGUAUCACAGUCUAACGGACUGGGUCAAACCAUUCCUACAUGAUAAAAGAAAAUUGAAGAAGAUUAUGGAUCCUCAUUUGGGAGAUAAAUAUCCAAGCAAAGCUGCAUUUCCUAUAGCUAAGCUUGCUUCAAAAUGUCUUGCACCCGAGCCCAAAAUGCGCCCGUCCAUGAAGGAUGUUUUGGAGAUCUUGCAAGGAAUUCAAGCUUCCACAAACAAAAACGUGGAGGUUAGGGGUGAUCAUUAAUUAAUUCAUUAUUAAUCCUAUUUAUAUGUGAAUUAAUUAAUGGACCUGUAUGAUUAAAAGGCUAUUGGUUGUUCAUUUUGUAUUUUCCUUGAACUCAAGUAGCUAGCUAGGUGUAUUUCUGUGGUGGCUUCAGUGAGUUGUGGAUUUGAUAUACAUGCCUCUAGUUAGUUCAUCAACAUGUUGUAUUGUAUCGUGUACCUAUAGUUCUAUAUUAGAAAUCCCAAAUAUUCAUUAUGGAUCUUGAUCAAACUCAUGGAUUAUUCUUGUAUUGUCACAAAACCAUAUAUAAAUCUCUUAGACACACUCACAAAAUAUAAACUCUACAUUUUGUUUUGAGGAGUGCUAUAUAGUGCGAAAAUCCUCUCCCGAAAUGAUCACGAAAAUGUACGCGUAUGUCAAAUUCAGCUCAUUUGUUAAUUUAAGGCAAAGCUCUUUUUUGGUUUUAAUUAAAACAAUAAUUAAUAAUACAGCAGUGUAUUGUGGAUCCACCGCUUGGGGAUUUUUUGUAACUAAUUAACCAGUUAUCCAUACUUCACUUCAAUUCAACCAAUAGCUUAUAAAAAAUUCAACACAUGCUAUGCUACUACUUCAUCCAAGAUCUGCUAUACAAUUUGCCACUUUCACAUUUAGUCAUGCGUUACUUUUUAGAACCACCUGUUUUGAUGAUAAAUUAUUGGAAUAAUAAAGAGAGGUUUUGUGAUAAGACGGUGAGAAACUAACAAAUGAAGAGAAAUAGAGCACUGCUAUUUGCAGCGAAAGAAAAUAUCACGAAUGGUUUCACGAAGUAUUGCCAUCAUUGGAUUUUGUUUGGUGGAAAACAUGAACGGUGGGAUGAAAAGAAGGGAGUAUGAGACAGUUUCAACAUACUGCUUACAAGUUGUCGUGAUGCAUUCGUGGGCAAAUUUGUCGCUAUAAGUAGCAUUAUAAGUCAUAUAAGGCGCACAACUCAUUCGGGAUGUGUUCGGGAAUUUUUACUCGUGACAUAUAGCAUUUUCCUUUUGUUUUUUUGAGUUUGUGAGUGUGCGUAAGCCUAAGACUUAUGACUAUGGAAGACUUUCUCCAAACUUAUAUAAGGAUUGUGACUCUCUCUUGAUGCACAAUAUAUUACAGAUAACAAUUAUCAAUAAAUCUCUUACAGGCCUAAUCUGUUAGCAGGUCUCUAACACACAUCAACACUUUACUUUGACCUAAUGUGAUAUACGAUUAGAAAAAUGGGGCAGCACGGAUCAUACUCCAAUACUAUUGUUCAAAGGGAUUAUAAACAUUCACCAUUUUAUUGAUCAUUAUUAUGAUCACCACAACCUUCAAAAAGGCACAGAGAAUAUAGUUGAUCAGUAAAAUCCAAAUGAACAAUUUGACCAUGAUUUGGAAAACUAGUGUGCAAAUCUUAAAAGCCAUACCUUUGGGUUUCUUGUGCUGCAUAUUGAUUACGGGGUGAGUUAUCUUCACCAGAAGUCUUUCGAAUGUCAGAAUCUACAAAGUCCCUAUGCGGACUUCCGAUAGUACUGCUUGCAAAUGGACUAUUAGGAGCACUUUUUGCAGAUCCAUUGUCACUUUUAUUAGAAACAGAUCCAUUGCCUACUCUUUUGUCCCU